rnacentral:miRNA from 1 species
UGACUAGAUCGAACAUUCGCU